rnacentral:rRNA from 1 species
UCGAUCUCAAAUCGGGUA